AUUGAACGCUGGCGGCAGGCCUAACACAUGCACGUCGAACGAGUGGCGGACGGGUGAGUAAUGUCUGGUAAACUGCCCGAUGGAGGGGGAUAACUACUGGAAACGGUAGCUAAUACCGCAUAACAUCGGAUGUACCCAGAUGGGAUUAGCUAGUAGGUGGGGUAACGGCUCACCUAGGCGACGAUCCCUAGCUGGUCUGAGAAGAUGACCAGACACACUGGAACAGAGAAAAGGUCCAGACUACUACGGGAGGCAGCAGUGGGGAAUAGUGAACAAGGGGGACAAGCCUGAUGCAGCCAUGACGCGUGUAUGAAGAAGGCAUUCGGGUUGUAAAGUACUUUCAGCGAGGAGGCGUUACUCGCAGAAGAAGCACCAGCUAACUCAGUGCCAGCAGCCGCGGUAAUUC
rnacentral:rRNA from 1 species